UGGAACAGUCAUAAGUGAUGAUAUGCUAAUCAGUUGUCCUUUGUCAUUAUCUUUUUGACAGCAAAACUCUAUAUUUUAGUCAAGCUAUAAACGUUUAAAAUAUAACAACAGUGUUUCAUGCCAGAACAACCAUACUCUCUCCAAAUUCGUCUUUUACUGUUGAAAUACACUACCAAAAGUCGAUAAGUAAAUGAACAAUCGCAAACACUGAUAUUGUUCGCUGUUAGUGAUAAGCAAAGAAAUAUUACUGAUACGUAUGCGUGGUAUGACGAAGCUCAUUGUUCCAUAAUAAAAUAAAUUAUUCAACUUACUAAUCAAUACUACGCUAAAAAAGGCUGUCUCCUACCUACAUGAACAGACUUAAUUUGUAAUUGGCGACUACGACAUUAAAAGACAAUAAACUAUAGAUAUGUUCGUAUAAAGAACGAGUCACAAGCACAUGACAGAAAAUUUUUGUUUCAGGAAACCAGGUAAUAUUUACUGAUAAAACAUCUUAUAUGCCUGCACACUUGCCAUGCUGUUUGUGUUCAGCAUCCGAGCACUUGGUGUGGUGCAGGUGUG